CCCUAGUGCCUGACCACACCUCCAUCCCUAGUGCCUGACCACACCUCCAUCCCUAGUGCCUGACCACACCUCCAUCCCUAAUACCUGACCACACCUCCAACCCUAGUGCCUGCAUUAUUGGUUGCCACAGCCGUAAAAUUGUACCAAUUCAUUUUUCCUCGGUUGCCCAAGAUAUUUCAACACUGUAUCAAUGAUGGCAGAUCAAUUCUCUAUGUUUUUAGUUUAGUUGUUUUUCCCAAGAUGAGAAGAGAAUCUCCCAGCCCAUUAGGUCUCUCACUAUGCAGACAGAAAAAUUUAAAAGUACAUUUACAUUGUAAUACCUCUGAUAUCCAACUUUCUAACUCUUUAUAGCAUUCCCAGAAGUUCUGGAUUAUUCAGUCAUUGUUAGUUUUACACUUGAGACAUGACUCUGCCGUUGUGCUGUAAAAUUUGUGAAUUUUGUCUCUUGUAUAAUAUGUUCCAUACAUUAGUUUAUACUGGAUUAACAUUUUUGUUAACUGUAAUUUCAUUAAUUAGGCUCCAACUUUCCCUCCAUCUUGUGACAACAUCAGUUCUUUUUAAGUUUUGGUUCCAAUAGUUAAUAUAUAUAUAUAUUUGAAAGAGAUAGUCAUUUGGAUAGUCUUUCUGGAAGGUUUUGUAUGUCUUACCGAUCAUAUGAAUGUCAUGUUCUGACUCAAAUAAGAUUCCCUCAAGGUUGCUCUGAUGUCCAAAAUAUGUAACUAUAUGGUCGCAAGCAAAACCUUGGGUAGGGGGUUGAUAUAAUUCCAAGUCAGGAAGGUAAAACCACCCCCCAAACUCAGGAAGGUCAAACCACCCCCAGACUCAGGAAGGUCAAACCACCCCCAGACUCAGGAAGGUCAAACCACCCCCAGAUUCAGGAAGGUCAAACCACCCCCAGAUUCAGGAAGGUCAAACCACCCCCCAAACUCAGGAAGGUCAAACCACCCCCAGACUCAGGAAGGUCAAACCACCCCCAGACGCAGGAAGGUCAAACCACCCCCAGACUCAGGAAGGUCAAACCACCCCCAGACUCAGGAAGGUCAAACCACCCC
ensembl:lncRNA